rnacentral:tRNA from 3 species
AAAGGGAGACCUAAUUCGGGUAGAAGACGAAAAAAUAGUAGUCGAAACCAAGAAUCAAUCCCAAAAGGUCGGAACGAGGUAUGUGGCUUUCAAACUAGGUUCUGGGUUCACAAAAGACCUGAAUCAGGAACAAGGGCUAUUAGCUCAGGUGGUUAGAGCGCACCCCUGAUAAGGGUGAGGUCCCUGGUUCGAGUCCAGGAUGGCCCACCUGCACAGGUGGCAAAAACAAGAGAAACGAGGAAUCAGCACCUUAUCUUACUUACAUAGUAAGAGAGAAUGCUGGCUCUGAGUAAAGAGUCCAGAGGAACCUUGAAAACUGCAUAGAGCUAGGUGAAAAAGCCAAAAAAGAAGACCGCAAG